UUUCCGUAGGUGAACCUGCGGAAAGAUCAUUCAUAAUAAAGUGUUUUAUGGCACUUUUUAAAAAUCCAUAUCCACCUUGUGUGCAAUGUUAGAUCUCGUCAAUCUUGGCGAGAUUUUUAUACAUCAACUCAUUCUUUAACUAAUUUGUCUGAAAAAUAUUAUGAAUACUUAAUUCAAAAUACAACUUUCAACAACGGAUCUCUUGGCUCUC
rnacentral:misc_RNA from 1 species